ACAUGGUCGGUUAGUCGAUCCUAAGAGAUGGAGAAUCCUUGUAUCAAGGGUGCACUCUGCAUGAACAUCAAAAGAUAAUUGGGUUAAUAUUCUCGAACCAGGACAUGGUGGUGGAUGACAAUGUUAGGAAAUCUAGAGAUGUCAUUGGGGGCCUAGGAAGAGUUAUCUUUUCUUUUUAACGACUUUACCACCCUGAAAUCGGUUCAACCGGAGAUAGGGUCCAACAUCUGAAAGAGCACCACACGUAUUGUGGUGUUUGGUGCCCCCUCGACAACCAUUUUAAAUAUGAUGAACCGAGUACCAUCCAUGCCCGAUCGUACUCAUAUCUACCUCCUUGGAUUUUUCAAUGUCCACUAGGUUAGCGAUCU
rnacentral:ncRNA from 1 species